rnacentral:rRNA from 1 species
GAUUUCUGGUAAGGUGCGCCUGGCCCGCCACGGUUACGUGGUGAGUGCUGGGACGCGCCUACCAUCCUUCUAGUGACACUAUGUUGCUCGUAAUGGGGUGAUAUAGCGUUCGCUAGAUCUUUUACUUUGAAAAAAUUAGAGUGUUUAAAGCAGGCGUUUGCUAUGAAUACAUUAGCAUGGAAUAAUAACUUAGGACUUUGGUUCUAUUUUGUUGGUUUCUAGAACUAGAGUAAUGAUUGAUAGGGAUAGUUGGGGGUGCUAGUAUUCAGUGGCCAGAGGUGAAAUUCUCGGAUUCACUGAAGACUAACUUCUGCGAAAGCAUU